GGGGGUGACUGGUUUCGACGGGGAUCAGCGAGGCGCAGGUGGCAUCUCGAGGUUCUCUCUCCUCGUAAAACCGAGAGAACGGUUAUAGCUGCCGACACUCAGCUAGCUCUGGCCGCCUAACAACGGCCACGCUCCGCCGGGUCGAGCCAUCAGGGCCUGGGCCUGGGGCGUCAUACUCUGGUGGCUGGUCCUGAACCCGGCCUCGGGGUGAGGGGCGAGAUCUUUUGAGGCUGGCGGCCCGGGGAUCCUGUCGGCAGGAGGCUCGGGCGGCGAGAUUGAAAAUACCGACUACGGAUGUAGAAGCCUGACGCCGAGGGUUUCCGGACGAGGGUUCGAUACCCUCCACCUCCACCA
rnacentral:tmRNA from 1 species